rnacentral:rRNA from 1 species
GACGAACGCUGGCGGCGUGCCUAAUACAUGCAAGUCGAACGCAGGGGGGACGGGUGAGUAACACGUGGGUAACCUCCCAUCAGAGGGGAUAACACUUGGAAACAGGUGCUAAACCGAUACUGAUGGAUGGACCCGCGGUGCAUUAGCUAGUUGGUGAGGUAACGGCUAACCAAGGCCACGAUGCAUAGCCGAGCUGAGAGGGUGAUCUGCCACACUGGGACUGAGACACGGCCCAGACUCCGACGGGAGGCAGCAGUGGAGAAUAUUCCGCAAUGGGGGAAAGUCUGACCGAGCAACGCCGCGUGAGUGAAGAAGGUGUUCGGGUCGUAAAAUUCUGUUGUUAGAGAGGCGGUAUCUAACCAGAAAGCCACGGCUAACUCCGUGCCAGCGGCCGCGGUAAUAC